UCGCAGGCACGCUGAAGCUGUACUUC
rnacentral:piRNA from 1 species